rnacentral:misc_RNA from 1 species
UUCAAAAAUUGCAAAUGCAUUGGCCCAAUCUUUUAGCUUCAAGAAUCCAUUGAUUAACAUGGAGUAAGUCUUCAUGUUGUGUUUUAUACCAGCUGAUUCCAUAAUUUUGCUAACCUCCAGAGCUUUAGAGAUUUUACCAACCUUAGUGUAUAGAUUGAUGAGGCAUCCAUAGCUAACAACUGAGGGCGUAAAUCCACAUUCCUUAAGUCUUUGAAAUACAGUCAGACAUUUCUCUGCAUUGCCAAUCAUGGUGUAGCCAUCCAUCAUGGUGUGAUA